AACGUGCUCCGGGGUCGGUGAGAAUCCGAACCGGCGGUGACAGUCCGCGAACCCGCAUCCGUGCGGGCCGACCCGGUGGAACUCCGGGACCGACGGUGAUGCGACGCGAGUCGCGAGUCCGGAUGGAAGGCAGCACGCG
rnacentral:ncRNA from 1 species